ACGGAGGCGCCCAAAGGUUCCCUCAGCCUGGUUGGUAAUCAGGUGGUGAGUGUAAGUGCACAAGGGAGCUUGACUGUGAGACCGACGGGUCGAGCAGGGACGAAAGUCGGGACUAGUGAUCCGGCGGUGGCUUGUGGAAGCGCCGUCGCUCAACGGAUAAAAGGUACCCCGGGGAUAACAGGCUGAUCUUCCCCAAGAGUCCAUAUCGACGGGAUGGUUUGGCACCUCGAUGUCGGCUCGUCGCAUCCUGGGGCUGGAGUCGGUCCCAAGGGUUGGGCUGUUCGCCCAUUAAAGCGGUACGCGAGCUGGGUUUAGAACGUCGUGAGACAGUUCGGUCCCUAUCCGCUGCGCGCGUAGGAGUCUUGAGAAGGGCUGUCCCUAGUACGAGAGGACCGGGACGGACGAACCUCUGGUGUGCCAGUUGUUCUGCCAAGGGCAUGGCUGGUUGGCUACGUUCGGGAGGGAUAACCGCUGAAAGCAUCUAAGCGGGAAGCCUGCUUCGAGAUGAGGACUCCCACCCACUUGAUGGGGUAAGGCUCCCAGUAGACGACUGGGUUGAUAGGCCGGAUCUGGAAGCCAGGUAACUGGUGGAGGUGACCGGUACUAAUAGGCCGAGGGCUUGUCCUCAGUUG
rnacentral:rRNA from 1 species